AGUUGUUUUUAAUAGAUUUGGUUUUUUUGUUUGUUUUUUUUUAAAGAAAGGUAGGAGGAUCACUUGAGGCCAGGAUGAAGAAAGCCUCCUUAAUAUAACAAGACCCUGUCUCUACAAAAAAUAAAAUAAAAUAAAUUACGCAUGGUGGCAUGUGCCUGUAGUCACAGCCACUGGGAAGGCUGAGGCAGAGGAUGGCUUGAACCCAGGAGUUCAAGGCUGCAGUGAGCCAUAGUCACACCACUGCACUCCAGCCUGAGUGACACAGUGAGAUCCUGUCAACAACAACAACAAUAACAAAACACAAAGAAAAAUCACUUUAUGAUGCGAAUACGCCUUGAUUGAAAACAAUGAAAAGACCUGGGUACAGUGGCUCAGACCUGUCAUCCUAGAACUUUGGGAGGCCAAGGCAAGAGGAUUUGAGGCCAGCUUGGGCAAAAAAGUGAGACUUCAUCUCUACAAAAAAUAAACAUUAAAAAAAUUGAAAAGAAAUAUAUGAGAAAGAAAUGUUGCAGGAU
rnacentral:lncRNA from 1 species